rnacentral:rRNA from 1 species
CCUACGGGAGGCAGCAGUAGGGAAUUUUCCACAAUGGGCGAAGGCCUGAUGGAGCAAUACCGCGUGCAGGAUGAAGGCCUUCGGGUCGUAAACUGCUUUUAUGUGCGAAGAAUUUGACGGUAACACGUGAAUAAGGAUCGGCUAACUACGUGCCAGCAGCCGCGGUCAUACGUAGGAUCCAAGCGUUAUCCGGAAUUACUGGGCGUAAAGAGUUGCGUAGGUGGCAUUAUAAGUGGAGCGUGAAAGCGUGCGGCUCAACCGCAUUAUUGCGUUCCAAACUGUGAAGCUUGAGUAUGGGAGAGGUAGAUGGAAUUUCUAGUGUAGGAGUGAAAUCCGUAGAUAUUAGAAGGAACACCGAUGGCGUAGGCAGUCUACUGGCCCAUUACUGACACUAAGGCACGAAAGCGUGGGGAGCAAACGGGAUUAGAUACCCCGGUAGUCCACGCUGUAAACUAUGGAUGCUAGCUGUGACACACAUCGACCUGUAGUCGUAGCGAAGUUAACGCGUUAAGCAUCCCGCCUGGGGAGUACGGUCGCAAGAUUAAAACUCAAAAGGAUUAGACGGACGNGAGAGAGCGAGACGACGACGAGGAGGAGAG